rnacentral:rRNA from 1 species
AUUGAACGCUGGCGGCAUGCCUUACACAUGCAAGUCGAACGGCAGCACGGGGCAACCUGGUGGCGAGUGGCGAACGGGUGAGUAAUGCAUCGGAACGUACCUUUCAGUGGGGGAUAACGUAGCGAAAGUUACGCUAAUACCGCAUAUUCUGUGAUCAGGAAAGCAGGGGAUCGCAAGGCCUUGCGCUGAUUGAGCGGCCGAUGUCAGAUUAGCUAGUUGGUGGGGUAAAGGCUCACCAAGGCGACGAUAUGUAGCGGGUCUGAGAGGAUGAUCCGCCACACUGGAACGGAGACACGGUCCAGACUCCUACGGGAGGCAGCAGUGGGGAAUUUUGGACAAUGGGGGCAACCCUGAUCCAGCCAUGCCGCGUGAGUGAAGAAGGCCUUCGGGUUGUAAAGCUCUUUCGGCCGGGAAGAAAUCGCACGGGCUAAUACCCUGUGUGGAUGACGGUACCGGAAUAAGAAGCACCGGCUAACUACGUGCCAGCCGCCGCGGUAAGAC